rnacentral:piRNA from 1 species
UGCACGAACUACAAUGUCUCUCAGUGCCUC